UACGGAGGGUGCAAGAGUUAACCGGAAUCACUGGGUUUAAAGGGUGCGUAGGCGGCUUGGUAAGUCAGAGGUGAAAGCCCGCAGCUUAACUGCGGAACUGCCUUUGAUACUGCCGAGCUUGAAAGAGGUUGAGGUCAGCGGAACGUGACAUGUAGUGGUGAAAUGCAUAGAUAUGUCACAGAACACCAAUUGCGAAGGCAGCUGGCUGGGCCUACUUUGACGCUGAGGCACGAAAGCGUGGGGAGCGAACAGG
rnacentral:rRNA from 1 species